rnacentral:rRNA from 1 species
AAGGUUUGGCACCUCGAUGUCGGCUCGUCGCAUCCUGGGGCUGAAGCCGGUCCCAAGGGUUGGGCUGUUCGCCCAUUAAAGCGGUACGCGAGCUGGGUUUAGAACGUCGUGAGACAGUUCGGUCCCUAUCCGAUGCAGCCGUAGGAAGAUUGAGGAAGGCUGUCCCUAGUACGAGAGGACCGGGACGGACGCAGCUCUCGUGUGCCAGUUGUCCUGCCAAGGGCAUGGCUGGUUAGCGACCUGCGGAAGGGAUAAGCGCUGAAAGCAUAUAAGCGCGAAGCUCGUUCCAAGAUGAAUCUUCCCACAGGAUAACCUGGUAAGGCCCGUGGUAGACGACCACGUUGAUAGGCCGGAGGUGUAAGCACGGCAACGUGUUAAGCCGACCGGUACUAAUCGGCCGAGGGCUUGGAG